GCCUAAAGCGUCCGUAGCCUGUUCUAUAAGUUUCCGGUUAAAUCCACUAGCUCAACUAAUGGGCUGCCGAAAAUACUGUAGAACUAGGGAGUGGGAGAGGUAGACGGUAUUCGGUAGGAAGGGGUAAAAUCCUUUGAUCUAUCGAGGACCACCUGUGGCGAAGGCGGUCUACCAGAACACGUUCGACGGUGAGGGAUGAAAGCUGGGGGAGCAAACCGGAUUAGAUACCCGGGUAGUCCCAGCUGUAAACGAUGCAGACUCGGUGAUGCGCUGGCUUGUGGCCAGUGCAGUGCCGCAGGGAAGCCGUUAAGUUUGCCGCCUGGGAAGUACGUACGCAAGUAUGAAACUUAAAGGAAUUGGCGGGGGAGCACCACAAGGGGUGAAGCCUGCGGUUCAAUUGGAGUCAACGCCAGAAAUCUUACCCGAAGAGACAGCAGAAUGAAGGUCAAGCUGGAGACUUUACCAGACAAGCUGAGAAGUGGUGCAUGGCCGUCGCCAGCUCGUGCCGUGAGAUGUCCUGUUAAGUCAGGUAACGAGCGAGAUCCCUGCCUCUAGUUGCCACCAUUACUCUCAGGAGUAGUGGGGCGAAUUAGCGGGACCGCCGCAGUUAAUGCGGAGGAAGGAAGGGGCCACGGCAGGUCAGUAUGCCCCGAA
rnacentral:rRNA from 1 species